rnacentral:lncRNA from 1 species
AAAUAAAAUAAAUAAUAAUUAAAAAAGAAAAAAAAAGAAAUUGCCAAAGGGAGAGGAAGUUUUGAUUUUCUUUUAAUCUCUCUUUCACACUACUUUCGACAUGUGGUUGGGAGUUUCUUUUUGUUUUAAAAGCAAAAUUAUUUUCUCUUCUCCCUCCUCACGCUUGUUCUACUCUCCCCCACUGUAACAACAAACACACAUUUCAAAAAAACAAAUUCUUCCCCAUAUCUCUCACGUGUACACUGCACCAUGAACAACAACAAAACUUUCAAGUCAAAUAAAAACUCUUCCUCUCUCUCAUGACUUAAGCACAUCAAAGCCAAGAAACUCAAAUUUUCUCAUAUGGUAACAUCAACAAAAUAAAGAUCAUAUACACUCUUGUCUCUCUCAA